AACGAAGAGGUAUCGUAAUUGAAGAGGUUUGGAAAGACCCACCACAGAAGGUAAUAGUCCUGUAUGUUAAACGAGAAGACUUUAGAUAUGAUCCAGAGUACCACGGGACACGUGAAACCCUGUGGGAAGCAGGAGGGACCACCCUCCAAGGCUAAAUACUACCUAGUGACCGAUAGCGUAUAGUACCGUGAGGGAAAGGUGAAAAGAACCCCGGGAGGGGAGUGAAAUAGAACCUGAAACCCUGCACUUACAAGCUGUGGAAGCACAUUUCUUGUGUGACCGCGUACUUUUUGUAGAACGGGCCAACGAGUUACGUUAAGUAGCAAGGUUAAGCACUUAAGGUGCGGAGCCGUAGCGAAAGCGAGUUUUAACUGAGCGUUCAGUUACUUGACGUAGACCCGAAACCGGGCGACCUACCCAUGAGCAGGAUGAAGCGAAAGUAAAAUUUCGUGGAGGUCCGAACCCACGAGCGUUGAAAAGCUCGGGGAUGACUUGUGGGUAGCGGUGAAAUUCCAAUCGAGCCCGGAGAUAGCUGGUUCUCCCCGAAAUAGCUUUAGGGCUAGCCUCAAGGUGAGAGAUACGGAGGUAGAGCACUGAAUGUCCUAGGGGGUAUUGCACCUACCGAAGACUAUCAAACUCCGAAUGCCGUCAUCUUAUACUUGGGAGUCAGACUGUGGGUGAUAAGAUUCAUAGUCGAAAGGGCAACAGCCCAGAUCGUCAGCUAAGGUCCCUAAAUGUAAGUUAAGUGGUAAAGGAUGUGGGAUUGCACAGACAACCAGGAUGUUGGCUUAGAAGCAGCCACUCAUUCAAAGAGUGCGUAAUAGCUCACUGGUCGAGUGAUCCUGCGCCGAAGAUUUCCGGGGCUAAAACUUACUACCGAAGCUACGGCAUCAGUAAUGAUGGGUAGGGGAGCUUCCCAUACGGGUUGAAGCAUGACCGUAAGGACAUGUGGACAGUAUGGGAGUGAGAAUGUUGGCAUGAGUAGCGAGAUGUGGGUGAGAAUCCCACAGGCCGUAAACCCAAGGUUUCCAGGGGAAGGUUCGUCCGCCCUGGGUUAGUCGGGACCUAAGCUGAGGCCGAAAGGCGUAGGUGAUGGACAACAGGUUGA
rnacentral:rRNA from 1 species